UGCAAGUCGAACGCCUGUAGCAAUACAGGAGUGGCAGACGGGUGAGUAACACGUGGGAACGUGCCCUUCGGUUCGGAAUAACCCAGGGAAACUUGGGCUAAUACCGGAUACGUCCGCAAGGAGAAAGAUUUAUCGCCGAAGGAUCGGCCCGCGUCCGAUUAGCUAGUUGGUGAGGUAACGGCUCACCAAGGCGACGAUCGGUAGCUGGUCUGAGAGGAUGAUCAGCCACACUGGGACUGAGACACGGCCCAGACUCCUACGGGAGGCAGCAGUGGGGAAUAUUGGACAAUGGGCGCAAGCCUGAUCCAGCCAUGCCGCGUGAGUGAUGAAGGCCCUAGGGUUGUAAAGCUCUUUCGGCGGGGAAGAUAAUGACGGUACCCGCAGAAGAAGCCCCGGCUAACUUCGUGCCAGCAGCCGCGGUAAUACGAAGGGGGCUAGCGUUGCUCGGAAUCACUGGGCGUAAAGCGCUCGUAGGCGGAUGGUUAAGUCGGGGGUGAAAUCCUG
rnacentral:rRNA from 1 species